rnacentral:misc_RNA from 1 species
AAUUGCCUGAUGAAGCUGGAGAAAUUGUUAUGCUUGAAGUAAGUAGGAAGGAGGAGUCGCGCGAAUUCUGGAGGAUUCCAAACCACGAAGCUGUUCUUGUUGGAGCUCCACGACACGAUCUCAUCCGUAGACGAAUCAUCCACCAUGUCGUAAGUCUUUAACAAGAAAGGCGCUGGCCCUCCGCCGCCUCCACCUCCACCUCCCGCGGCAGCAGAAGAGGUUGAGGCUGGGACCACUUCCAUUAGACUCUGUCUGAC